GUGGCUUGAAGGUCUUUUUAAAUUGUUGUUGUUAUGUUUUUAUUUUAUUUUACUUUAUUUUUAAAUAGAGAUGAGGUCUUGCUAUGUUGUCCAGGCUGGUCUCAAACUCCUGGGCUCAAGCAGCUCGCCUGUCUUGGCCUCCCAAAGUGCAGGGAUUGCAGAUGUGAGCCACCAUGCUUGGCCCUUGCUAUAUUUUAAAUAGUUAAAAAUACUGUUUUUGUUUUUUUGUUUUUCCUUGCUGAAUACUUGGGAAAAUUGGUUUGUGUCUGUGGCAAAGGAAUUCAACAAUACUUUCAUUUUCAGGUCAGACUAUUUUAAGAAAAUAGAAGACUAUCAUUUACAGCUGGUAUGGCCCUGUGGUGGUGUGGACCCAGACUUCAAACACAGAUGAAGAUCGAAAACUGAUAUCCCGCAUCUGAUAUCAGGAUGAGUUGCAGAAAAACUCCUCAGACACCGGAUUAAAGAAGGAAGAGGUUUUUUAUUUGUCCGGGAGCGUCGGCAGACUCGCGUCUUAAGAGCCGAGCUCCCCGAAAAAGAAAUUCCUAGCCCUUUUAAGGCCUUACAACUCUAAGGAGUCUACGUGAAAGAGUCAUAAUAGAUCAAACAAAUUAAGAAUUCAGAGCCCAAUCCUAACUUCAAGCCAAGAAGUAAAAAAAGGAAGAAAAAAUCAAGACGCUCAGAACAGAACUCCAGCAAUAUUGAACCCAGGUAAUGAAACUAGAUAUGUGUUGUGUGUCAUGUCACAUUGAGAUCUAUGGUAGGAAAGUUUCUUGUUAGACGGAAGUAAAAUAUGACUAGUAGCAGACUUUUUGGCAAAUUCUCAUUUUAUUUUAAAUAACUCUAUAGGGAAAAAAACAGCUCUAUGGAUUUUAUUUUCUAAGACAAUCAACCAUUUUCAUGUGUGGAAAAGACCCAGGCAUUACUUGACUGUCCUGAAUGUUUUGUGACAACAUAUUAAACAAGCAAAAUUGUUUGUUUGUUUGUUUGUUUGUUUGUUUGUUCUUAGACAGAGCUUCACUGUGUUGCCCAGGCUAGAGGGUAGUGGCGUGAUCAAGGCUCACUGCAGACUCAACCUCCUAGGCUCAAGUAUAUUCUCCUCAGCUUCCAGUAUAUUCUCCUGCAAGAACAUACCACCCCACACCUGGCUAAUUUUAAAAUGUUUUGUAGAGACAGGGUCCCACUAUGUUGUUCAGGCUGGUCUCAAACUCCUGGCCUUAAGUGAUCCUCCUGCCUCAGCCUCCCAAAGUGCUGGGAUUAUAGGCAUGAGCCACCACAUCUAGCCACAAAACUUGUUUAGAGAAAAAAUUGUUAUGAUGAUGUGAAUAAUUGGGUCCACAAUAUUUCCUUUUAGAAAGAAAAUUGGCCAGGCGCGGUGGCUCACGCCUGUAAUCCUAGCACUUUGGAAGGUCGAGGUGGGCAGAUCACCUGAAGUCGGGAGUUCGAGACCAGCCUGACCAACAUGGAGAAACCCCGUCUCUACUCAAAAUACAAAAAAUUAGCCGGGC
rnacentral:lncRNA from 1 species